ensembl:misc_RNA 7SK 7SK RNA
AGAUGUGCAGACGAUUUAGCUGCUACAUCUAUCACUCCAUUUAUCAUAGUGUCGAUUUGUCUGACCUUGCUGACUAGGCAAUGUUCCCUUCCUUUUUCACCAUUCCACAUGCAUUCCCCCUGAAGCUGUGCACUUGGUGGAAGAGGACAACUACCUCCAAUGGAGGAGGACAGUUUCCUAGUCAAGGGUAUAGAAGUAGCUGUGCUCCUCUACUAGAACCUCCAUGAUCUGGGCAUGGUGGCACAUGCCUAUAAUCCCAGAACUCAAGAGAUGGAGGCAGGAGGAUUGCUGUGAGUGUGAGUCCAGCCU